AAUAACGUAGUGAAUAAUGAAAGGACACGGUCGUUUUAUAUGUGUAUGCCUUUAGUAUUUGUUAUAUAAUGUUAAAAAUGUCAUACGAGGUGGUUUUUUUCAUAUUUAAUUUUCAUUCACUUCCAGGGAUAGGAUUGGCAUAGAAGAUGCAGCACUCUUUACAUUUUAAAUAUCAAAUGUAUAUCAAGUGUUAUCCAUCCUCAUAACACCUCCACAAAUAUAGACUGGAACUUCUGAGCAACAUCACCUUGUCUGCUUUGGGGCUGUCAUAGCCCAGCAGUCAGAUGCAUCAGAACAACAAAGCACAACUGUGGUAGCCCAGACACCUUCAGCAACAAAGAUUUAACAACACUGUCAGUCAGGAGCAUAUUUAACAGGAGCCACACUCAACUGGCUUGAUGGUGACUUCAGUGCAGUGAAGAUAUUUAAAGAGACACUAUCACUAUCUAAAGUACAGAAAGCCGUAUAUCAUCUCUAGGUGCAGUCACCUACAGUGCAGCCAGCUUUACAAAGACUGUGGGGCUGGUCACCAGGAAAAUGGACAACAGGGAGUGCUUUUGGGGUU